rnacentral:rRNA from 1 species
UACCAGCACCCCGAGUGUUGGGGGCGUUUAUUGGGCCUAAAGCAUCCGUAGCCGGUUCUACAAGUCUUCCGUUAAAUCCACCUGCUUAACAGAUGGGCUGCGGAAGAUACUAUAGAGCUAGGAGGCGGGAGAGGCAAGCGGUACUCGAUGGGUAGGGGUAAAAUCCGUUGAUCCAUUGAAGACCACCAGUGGCGAAGGCGGCUUGCCAGAACGCGCUCGACGGUGAGGGAUGAAAGCUGGGGGAGCAAACCGG